GAUGAACGCUAGCUACAGGCUUAACACAUGCAGGUCGAGGGGAAACGAUGAGAGAGCUUGCUCUCUUAGGCGUCGACCGGCGCACGGGUGAGUAACGCGUAUCCAACCUACCCAUUACAGGGGGAUAACCUUGCGAAAGUAAGACUAAUACCCCAUGGCAUUUUAUGGUGGCAUCAUUAUAGGAUUAAAGAUUUAUUGGUAAUGGAUGGGGAUGCGUCUGAUUAGCUUGUUGGCGGGGUAACGGCCCACCAAGGCAACGAUCAGUAGGGGUUCUGAGAGGAAGGUCCCCCACAUUGGAACUGAGACACGGUCCAAACUCCUACGGGAGGCAGCAGUGAGGAAUAUUGGUCAAUGGGCGAGAGCUUGAACCAGCCAAGUAGCGUGCAGGAUGACGGCCCUAUGGGUUGUAAACUGCUUUUAUAGGGGAAUAAAGUGAGCUACGUGUAGUUUAUUGCAUGUACCCUAUGAAUAAGGACCGGCUAAUUCCGUG
rnacentral:rRNA from 1 species